rnacentral:lncRNA from 1 species
AAGAAAUAUUCUGUUUCUGGCCUCCCAUCUUGGUGGGGGAUGUGCAGGCUGAGAACACAGGAGCUGACUUCUAUUGUAUCAGCUGAGACUGCAGGGUAGACUGCAAGAAGUGCCUCCUUGCUGAUGGACUGGCAGAUGAGAGUGGAGGUUGUAAAUCACCCUCCAUGCAAUGGUUCAUCAUAAAGGAUAUGGAGCAAAAUUAGAGGAGGCACGAGAAGGAAAGCCGGUGAUGAACAAGGAAAGUGCCUGGUUGAAGCUAGCUUGCAAUCCCAAAGUCAGAAGGUUGCCUGGGAAGCCAUGAAACAAAGCCAAAUCAAGGCAAAGCAGACACAUGGAGAUUUUGAGACUGAGAAGAGGAAAACUGAGGACAUUCAUGUGAGAUGGUUUCAAGUUUCCCUUAGAAGGAGAAGUUAUCUUCAGAAGGUCAGGUUGGUGAGGUGGGAGUUCAAAAACAACAAAGUAUGUAGCUACCAUUGUGAGGAAGACCAUGGA